rnacentral:sRNA from 1 species
UGCUUAAGGCGUAGGACACAGCUUGGGG